GAUGCCUUGCUAAGGGAAAUUCAAGCUGCCUUCCGUACAGAUGAAAUCAAGAGGACCCCCCUAAGACCACAAGAUGAGCUGAGACCAGGGAUGAGCUACUUCCAUGAAACAAUUUGGAAUGGUGUUUCCAGAUUUCAUCAAGCAAUCUGGAUUUAUUUGAGAAGAAAGAGAUGUGGCCUUGUGAAGCUUGUGGGUUGAACAUUCCUUAUAAGAUGUUAAAGAAGAAAAAGGAUUUAAGGGUCGGGGGCCAAUUCCUAUGUAGAACAUAAAAGAGUUUUUAACAAAAUCAAAGCAUUAUUGUGGCAUAUGCAAGAAAGUUUGGGAUCUUCAGAUAGUGGAAGUUGGGUGCACUGUGAUGGAUGGAGAGGAGUGUGAGUGCAUGCACAGGGAAUACCCAUUACUUGGUAUUUUGUCUCUUUGGAGGAAGAGGGUAGAGGACCAUGAAGAACAUUGGAAGAAGUUGUUAAAAGGGAUGUCACAGGGAAUAAUUCUCUAAGGAUUUGUUUUUUGACUGUACCCAAUGGUGUAAUCCAUAUAGUUGACAUAGUUUAAUGAAUUAAGAAUUUUGUUGUUGUUUUCAGCUUAAUAGUAUGGCAUUUUAGCAUUAUGAUAAACUGGAAAAAAAGAAUUUUAUAAUUCUUUCAUGAUGAAUCAACCAUUGAUAAAAUAUAAUUCAUUAUCUUUGAAGACUAGUUGCUUCCAUUUUUAUAAUCUAGAGCUGGAACAAGAUCCAGAUUUCAUAAUGUUGUCUGGCCAAUUCAAAGCUACUGUUAUGGAGCUCAUUUAUGUUUUGGAGCUGAAACAAAGAACUGGUUGAAGGGUUGCAAUUAAGGGUCACCUUAUGAGUGGCAAGUUUACAGGUUAAUUCUAUAUGGAUGGUACAAUUUUAAGAUUUGGGGAGUUGAAGGGACCAGGGGCAAUGAUUGAACAAGUUAAAAUGUUUUCGUAUUCAGUUUUUUCUCUUCAUGGUGCAAGCCCUUUCCUUCCAACAUCAGAUGGUGAUGUGCAAGAGAAGCAUAAUGAAUCAAUAACAACUACUUAGAAGAGCAAGAAGUCAUGGUGGGGAGUUUUGAAAUAUUAGUGUUAGUAGUUAUGAACAUUCUUUUAGAUAUUUUUCUCUUUUUCAUAUUUUUCUUAAUAUUUUAUAUUUUAUUGUAAAAGUUAAAUUUGAGUGUUAUGAGAUAUUAAUAUUAAGGAGUUGUAUUUAUUUC